GAAUAGCUCAACCCACGAGACAACUCACUUGGUUAGAGCAUGGUGCUGAUAACACCAAGGUUGCAGGUUCAAUCCCUGUAUGGGACG